GCGGGGUCGGGCUCGGGCUCGGCUGCCUGAUCCCGAGGGCCGCUGCCGCCGAGGGCCGGGCAGGUUGCGGCGAGGGCCGGGGGCGCCUCACGGGGCGGCUCUGGGCCGGGCCGGGCUGCGGGACCGGCGGCCGCCGCGCCCUGAGAUGGCUUUUAUCCACCGAGCCUUGUAAACAGAAGUCUUCGGUUCUCAGAUUAAUAUGGUUUAUGACCUUAGGACAGCUUCUGAAGUUAGUGCUGAAAGUAGCAUGUUUCUACAAAAGCAGCUUUUGUGUGCGCGCUCUCACAUAGCAGUCGGCAGAAACCCACAGUCCAUUAAGAGGAACUAGUAUGGCAAGAUAACUUUGUGAUGUCUCAUCGUACAAGCCCAAAAGGACAUCAACGAUACUCAGAAAGUGGGAGUUUUGAAAAAUGGUUUGAAUGUAACUUCCAGCUAUUGCGUCCAGCACUUCUCAGCAAGACUCAGAAGUUGUACGCUGCUGGAGUUGUUCUUCCCUGCGUCAGGACCCGCACGCAAGGAUCAGGUCACGCCUGGAAUUCUGUUUCAUAAGCUGAAGACGGUGCAUUCCUAAAUCUUGCCUGAGGGGCUUUGUUUUUUUUUCUGUGGAAAAGGGUUUUAUUCCCUGGAUAAUGUGGGGGCCCUUUAAGUUCUCCAGCAUUUCAACAUCUUUCUUUAUUUGUAGGUCCCAGUCGCUACUCUGAGCACAGUCGUUCAAUGUAGUUUAUUCUGCCAAAGUGAAAAUAACUGUGAUGUGACUAUGAGAGGUAGUUGUAUAAACAAAACAAUUCUCGUUUGGGUUUAAAUUUUUAAAAUCACCUAUUUCCAGUAUUUGUUGUUUCUCUUGCUUGUCUGAAGGGAAUAAAUUUUGUUUAAUAGGGAAACAGAACCACGCACUUGACUUAAAUGAGAAGCAGCUACCAGGCUCUGCUUGCUCCUUUGUGCCUAGACGUCUGUGAUCCAAUCUGGCUGUCCAGGAACAGCCCCAGACGUGGUGUUCUGACUGCUUACACUUCAGCUGACGGGAAUCAGGAUUCAGAUGGUACUCUGCGCCUGUUCAGAAACAAAGGCAAGCACAAAUUUAAACCAACUUAAAUGUAUGUUUGAUCUAGCACAGAACGUCUUUGAAGUGUCUACAGUCAAGAAACAAUCCUCUGGGGAUGAAAAUACACAUCUGCAAGUGGUCAAGCCCAGUCUGGGGAAGUUAAACUGUAGUGUCCGUACUAGCAACCCCAUCGGUGCUAGGUGGGAAGAGAUUGAUACAGGUCUAGGGAUUGAGCAUGCUGGUUUCUGUAUCGGCAUGAAGUUCUUGCAUCAGUAUCGUAACCCUUUCUGUCUGUCUUGAAAAUUCCAGUGUAGUCUACUAAAUAGGUAUAUAUGCCCCGCUUUUUUAUGUUUUUUUUUUUCUAUUUUCUUUAAACCAGUGCUGUACUAGAGAAACACAGUAUCCUUGGUGCUGGAGUCUUUAAAAACUUCUAGCUAUUGCAGAACUCUGCACUAUUUCUCCACAGCAAUGCAGACUAUUGGAAGCACCCAAUCUCACUUUUUCUAAUUUCUUCCAGAAAAGAUCCUAUUAAAAAUUCUGGUCCUUCUCUUCAAAGAAAGGUCUGAGGUUACUUAAAGUUUAACUUGAAAGUUGAAAUACUUGGGUCAGAGGCUAUUUAAGGUUCUGCAUAUACCCUGAAGCAAGGACUGCAGUUAUGAUUUCUGGUGAAGUUCUCCAUAAUACGGACGAAGCUGAAAGUUGUCGGUUACUGAAUUCCUUCAAGGGCUGGUGCUGAAAAGUGAAAUAGAUUCUGCUAACAAUUAGGGACCUCAGGAACCUCGCUUCAAGUGAAACAGCAUUUUCCCAGAGCCACCGCGUGGCUGAGGCUGGAGGCACCUCUGGGUCCCUCUGGCCCAACGCCCCCCAGCAGGGCCACCCCCAGCUGGUGCCCAGCCCACGUCCGGCUGCUGGAGCUCUGCAGGAGGGCCCCCAGCACCUCUCGGCACAGCCUGUGCCGGGGCUGCAGCACUGCGGGCACAGAACAUAAAGCAAACCUAUGAUAGGAAGACACUGCAUUGCAUAUGUGUCUUUGCCGUAGGAGAAUGUAAGAACGCUUUGACAGGUGUUAAUCACUUUUGUUAAUGCACUGUUUGGAGGAAACGCAAAGCUGAUAAUUCACAGCAUGUUUUGAGCAAGCUUGAUAAUGGACUGCUGGUACUGUUUUACUGUUGCUACUACCUGAGAAACGGGGUUUUAGAGAAAUGCGAUGUCGUGAAUUCAAAUAAAAUUUGAUCUUUUCUUGUGUCGUGGAA